rfam:Chthoniobacter flavus Ellin428 ctg47, whole genome shotgun sequence.
CCGGUGGCUUACGCCACCGGCUAAUUUAUGGCGUCCCUCCGGGACG